UUGCAGUCCAUGUGCGAGAAGAACAAUCAGACCCCUCCGUCGAUGCCAGUCAUUGCUCCGGCGGACACGCAUAACUCCCGACAAGCAUCGACGUCUGCCAUUGGCGCGAGCAAGAACCCCGAUCCUCCUCUGUCUGCCACUACCGCGAGCAAGAACCCCGAUCCUUCACCUACGGGUUGACGAUUUGCUUCAGAUCACGGAAGCUUGGGUUGAUGGAGUGCUUGUUUUUAGUUUUUGUUUUGA